rnacentral:tRNA from 1 species
UAAAAAUUAUUUUAAUUAUAGAAUUUUUGAUUGUUAAUCAAAAGGUUAUUAUUCUUAG